AGUGGAUGGGGAGCAACCUAGUUGUGCGUGUGUAAAGGUAGUGCCAAGAAAAGCGAUGAUCAUGUUGAAAAUCAAUUCCCGGUACCCGAAACCGACACAGGUGGGCAAGUAGAGAAUACUAAGGGGCGCGAGGUAACUCUCUCCAAGGAACUCGGCAAAAUGACCCCGUAACUUAGGGAGAAGGGGUGCCACCGAGAGGUGGUCGCAGUGAAGAGGUCCAGGCGACUGUUUAGCAAAAACAUAGGUCUCUGCAAACUCGAGAGAGGAGGUAUAGGGGCUGACGCCUGCCCAGUGCCGGAAGGUUAAAGAAGUUGGUCAGUCUUAGGAUGAAGCUAGCGACUGAAGCCCCGGUGAACGGCGGCGGUAACUAUAACGGUCCUAAGGUAGCGAAAUUCCUUGUCGGGUAAGUUCCGACCCGCACGAAAGGCGUAACGAUCUGGGCGCUGUCUCGGAGAGAGGCUCGGCGAAAUAGGAUUGUCUGUGAAGAUACGGACUACCUGCAUUUGGACAGAAAGACCCUAUGAAGCUUUACUAUAGCUUGGAAUUGUGUUCGGGCUUCCUGUGCGCAGGAUAGGUGGGAGGCGUAGAAGGUAUUCUUGUGGGGAUACUGGAGCCAACGGUGAGAUACCACUCUCAGGAGGCUAGAAUUCUAACUUAAUUAAGGACAGUUUCAGGUGGGUAGUUUGACUGGGGCGGUCGCCUCCAAAAAGGUAACGGAGGCGUACAAAGGUUCCCUCAGACUGGUUGGAAAUCAGUCGAAGAGUGCAAAGGCAGAAGGGAGCUUGACUGCGAGAAGUACAGUUCGAGCAGGGUGGAAACACGGUCUUAGUGAUCCGACGGUGCUGUGUGGAAGGGCCGUCGCUCAACGGAUAAAAGUUACUCUAAGGAUAACGGCUGAUCUCCCCCAAGAGUUCACAUCGACGGGGAGGUUUGGCACCUCGAUGUCGGCUCAUUGCAACCUGGGGCGGAAGUACGUCCCAAGGGUUGGGCUGUUCGCCCAUUAAAGCGGUACGUGAGCUGGGUUCAGAACGUCGUGAGACAGUUCGGUCCAUAUCCGAUGUAGGCGUGAGAAUAUUGAGAGGAGCCUUCCUUAGUGCGAGAGGACCGGGAAGGACGCACCGCUGGUGUACCUGUUAUGAUGCCAAUUGUAAACGCAGGGUAGCCAAGUGCGGAGAGGAUAACCGCUGAAAGCAUCUAAGUGGGAAGCCCACCUCAAGAUGAGUAUUCUGGUGUAAGGUCACGGGAAGACGACCCGUAAAUAGGCACGAGGUGGAAGUGCAGAGAUGUAUGAAGCCGAAGUGUACUAAUAGACCGUCGGCUUGACC
rnacentral:rRNA from 1 species